UCCUGUAUCCCUCCUUGCUGUCUCUGAUCUUGAUCUGCAGAUAUGUGCAUUAUGUUAGGACCUGGGUGAAUGUGAAGGAGGAUGCAACUAUCAACAGCUGCCAGCAAUCCUCAGGUUUAUGGUAGAAAAACAAAAAUAGGGGAUACAGUAACAUCAGAGAAACAGGAUUAUUUUAUAUCAAAAUCAAUGAGAAAUACACACACAACAAUGUAUUUGAUGACUAAAAUUUGUUUUAAAUGUGAGUGUUUAAGAUUUGUUGUUGCACACUGCACAGAGGAUAUAUUUCCUUACAUCUACUUCAGACAUGCAGCUUUAGCAAAUGCAAAUUCGUACAGCGAAGCGUUCAGGCUACAGGAUGAGUUGAAAACGCAUUCUUCAGUUAAUUAAGGUCAGAUCCGCCAUCACUUUUUCACUAUUACCUUCCAGCAGCAUUGUUUUAUUAAAAAAUCAGAGGGCAGACAUUAAAGCUCGGUAUUUCCAAACCAAAUAAAAACCAAAGCGCCGGUUCUAUCCUCUAGAGGGCAGUAGAUUCCUUUACGCAACUCCAAACCGAUCAGAGGGGGCAGCCGUUGCCAUGGAAACACAAACAAGAGGAGGCCGGUGGGAAAGGUUAGGAGAAUUAGGCGCUAACAGCUAGUUAAUUACCCCGGAGGAGGCAGCGGGGUCUUUCACAGCGUGGGAAAUGAUUCCAGGAAUUCAGUAGAUUCAGUCUGCGACAAAGAGAGACACACUUUCAUCCUUUAAGCUAAAACAAAAUGAAUUAUGCGCUGUGCUCCGAACAGACAGCACUCUCGAGAGAUGUAGUGAAGUGGCUCCAAAGCCUGGCGCUGUCAGUUUACCCAAAGAAUGUUCGCAGAGAUUUGUCCAAUGGGUACCUUUUGGCAGAGAUAUUUUCUCACUAUUAUCCUCGAGAUAUUUCAUUGAAUUUAUAUGACAAAGGAGUAUCAUUGUCUGCCAAGCAGAAGAACUGGAGCCAGAUACAACAGUUUAUGAAGAAGCAUAAUCUGCAUCUAUUGAAAGAGGCCAUUGAUGGAACAAUCCACUGUAAACCAGGAGCAGCGGAGCUGCUGGUGCAGGAGGCGCACACCAUCUUAACUAAUCAAAGAGCUGCUGAUGUUCGGUGUCGAGAGGUGCAUUUCAGCGAUGAAGAGUACCAGAAGCAGCUGCCCUCUGUGGCUCGCUCCACGGCCUCAAAGGCCAUCAAGAACAACCUGACAGCUACAGAGAUCACAGCCGAGCCCGACAUAUGCACAAAUCAGAGAAAGGCACAAGUCAUCCUCAGACGACACCUGCAGCUCAAAGCUGACGAAAAGAUUCUAAAUCCAGAACGUUUUCAAGUUAAGCGUAAUCGAAAUCAGUUGGCAGCCGAACUCCCUAAAGGGUCCAGCCAGGAUGAGGAGUACUGUAGAAUUCCUUCAUCUGGAAAGACGGGUUCCAGGGGGGAAACGCUAUUUUAGGUUUCGUGAGAAAAUGCAUCCAGGACUACAAAUGUGCAUCCCCAAAGUGACAUCAUCGAACCAGACACGGAGAAGAGGAGAGGUAAAAUGGCGAUUCGUCCACAAGAACUGGAACAUCUGAUUCCUUCAAGGAAAUAAAAGUGAAUCAGCCUGUCAGACACUCGCUGCUCGAUUAUUAAAGAGAAGUGAGUGGAUAAUAUUCAUUUUAAUGUGGCAUUAAAAUAUAAAUGUGUCACUGAU